rnacentral:rRNA from 1 species
GAUGAACGCUGGCGGCGUGCUUAACACAUGCAAGUCGAACGGUGAAGCCAAGCUUGCCUGGUGGAUCAGUGGCGAACGGGUGAGUAACACGUGAGCAACCUGCCCUGGACUCUGGGAUAAGCGCUGGAAACGGCGUCUAAUACUGGAUAUGAGACGUGAUCGCAUGGUCGUGUUUGGAAAGAUUUUUCGGUCUGGGAUGGGCUCGCGGCCUAUCAGCUUGUUUGUGAGGUAAUGGCUCACCAAGGCGUCGACGGGUAGCCGGCCUGAGAGGGGGACCGGCCAAACUGGGACUGGGACACGGCCCAGACUCCUACGAGAGGCAGCAGUGGGGAAUAUUGCACAAUGGGCGGAAGCCUGAUGCAGCAACGCCGCGUGAGGGAUGACGGCCUUCGGGUUGUAAACCUCUUUUAGCAGGGAAGAAGCGAAAGUGACGGUACCUGCAGAAAAAGCGCCGGCUAACUACGUGCCAGCAGCCGCCGUAA